GACGAACGCUGGCGGCGUGCUUAACACAUGCAAGUCGAACGGAAAGGCCCUGCUUUUGUGGGGUGCUCGAGUGGCGAACGGGUGAGUAACACGUGAGUAACCUGCCCUUGACUUUGGGAUAACUUCAGGAAACUGGGGCUAAUACCGGAUAGGAGCUCCUGCUGCAUGGUGGGGGUUGGAAAGUUUCGGCGGUUGGGGAUGGACUCGCGGCUUAUCAGCUUGUUGGUGGCGUAGUGGCUUACCAAGGCUUUGACGGGUAGCCGGCCUGAGAGGGUGACCGGGGACAGGGGGACGGGAAGACGACGGGGGGGCGAAGGGGUGACAAGAGCGGGGGGUGUGGGAGAAUGGGGCAAGGACGUAGGCAGCAGCGGGGGGGGGGGGGGGAGGGCAAUGGGGGUGGAAAGGGAUGAAGGCUCCGCCGCGGCGGGGGUGACGGUACUGGGUAAAGAAGCACCGGCUAACUAGGUG
rnacentral:rRNA from 1 species